rnacentral:rRNA from 1 species
AUUGAACGCUGGCGGCAUGCCUUACACAUGCGAAGUCGAACGGCCAGCACGGAGCAAUCCUGGUGGCGAGUGGCGAACGGGUGAGUAAUAUAUCGGAACGUGCCCAGGUCGUAGGGGGAUAACGUAGCGAAAGCUACGCUAAUACCGCAUACGAUCUAUGGAUGAAAGCGGGGGAUCGCAAGACCUCGCGCGAUUGGAGCGGCCGAUAUCAGAUUAGGUAGUUGGUGAGGUAAAGGCUCACCAAGCCGACGAUCUGUAGCUGGUCUGAGAGGACGACCAGCCACACUGGGACUGAGACACGGCCCAGACUCCUACGGGAGGCAGCAGUGGGAAUUUUGGACAAUGGGCGCAAGCCUGAUCCAGCAAUGCCGCGUGCAGGAUGAAGGCCUUCGGGUUGUAAACUGCUUUUGUACGGAACGAAACGGUGAGCUCUAAUACAGUUUGCUAAUGACGGUACCGUAAGAAUAAGCACCGGCUAACUACGUG